AUUGAACGCUGGCGGCAGGCCUAACACAUGCAAGUCGAGCGGAUGAGGGGAGCUUGCUUCCUGAUUCAGCGGCGGACGGGUGAGUAAUGCCUAGGAAUCUGCCUGGUAGUGGGGGACAACGUUUCGAAAGGAACGCUAAUACCGCAUACGUCCUACGGGAGAAAGUGGGGGAUCUUCGGACCUCACGCUAUCAGAUGAGCCUAGGUCGGAUUAGCUAGUUGGCGAGGUAAAGGCUCACCAAGGCGACGAUCCGUAACUGGUCUGAGAGGAUGAUCAGUCACACUGGAACUGAGACACGGUCCAGACUCCUACGGGAGGCAGCAGUGGGGAAUAUUGGACAAUGGGCGAAAGCCUGAUCCAGCCAUGCCGCGUGUGUGAAGAAGGUCUUCGGAUUGUAAAGCACUUUAAGUUGGGAGGAAGGGCUGUAGGCUAAUAUCCUGCAGUUUUGACGUUACCGACAGAAUAAGCACCGGCUAACUUCGUGCCAGCCGCCGCCGUAA
rnacentral:rRNA from 1 species